GCUCAUCGUUAUUUGAUAGU
rnacentral:miRNA from 1 species